rnacentral:lncRNA from 1 species
UGCCGACAACGAGAACUGAGCCAUGAGAGUGGCGAUAAGAAGAGCUAAGGCGAAGCUUGACGCAGUGCUUCACAAAUGGGUUUGAAGUGCUUGUGAUGGACUUCACGUGAGGUGGUAAAGGAAGUAGUGAUACCUCACUCCCAUCACCAUCUUCUUCAAAAACAUUAGGGUUCCUCCGAAAUUGGGUUUUAGAGAGCUUAGCCUUUGAAUUUG